GGGAGGUAGUGACAAUAAAUAACAAUACGGGGUUCUUCGAAUCUCGUAAUUGGAAUGAGUACAAUUUAAAUCCCUUAACGAGGAACAAUUGGAGGGCAAGUCUGGUGCCAGCAGCCGCGGUAAUUCCAGCUCCAAUAGCGUAUAUUAAAGUUGUUGCAGUUAAAAAGCUCGUAGUUGAAUUUCGGGGUCAGCAGGUUGGUCUUGCCACUGGUAUGUACUAGCUUGCUGAUUCCUCCUUCUUGUAGAACCGUAAUGCCAUUAAUUUGGUGUUGCGGGGAAACAGGACUGUUACUUUGAAAAAAUUAGAGUGUUUAAAGCAGGCCAACGCCUGAAUACAUUAGCAUGGAAUAAUGAAAUAGGACGUUCGAACCUAUUUUGUUGGUUUCUAGGAUUGACGUAAUGAUUAAUAGGGAUAGUUGGG
rnacentral:rRNA from 1 species